UUCUUAUUAGCUCAAUGGUAGAGCAGAAUACUUCUAAUAUUUGAUCCAAGUUCGAGUCUUGGAUAAGAAU
rnacentral:tRNA from 1 species